rnacentral:lncRNA from 1 species
GUUCUAUCCAAAAGACAGGACAGUGCAGUCACAAAGACUUGCUUUUUUCUUGCUAGAGAAUUCUACAAGAUUGAGAGAAAAAAAAUAAUGGUGACAAAAACGACAACAACAACCACAAGACAACAACAGCAACAACAAGAGCAACAGAACAAUUUACCCGUGCUAAAACUGUAGAAACUUGAAAACCUAUAUGAAAAAGAUAAAUUUAUAGCAAAAGUGAUUGAAAUAAAAGGAAAUAAAAAACAUAAAUGGACCAAAACCCAUCUGGAACAUUGAGAGUAUAAUAACCAGAACCCUCAGGCCAAAAAUGUACACUUGCUCCUCAACCAAGCAUAGACAGAAAUACAGCCCUAAUUUUUGCCGUAACAAGGUGAUUGGAUCACGGGGGCUCUGGAUGUGCUGUCAGGAGGAGAAGCCCAGCUGGUGGAACUGGUCACUGGGGAUGUGCAUUUGGAGGGUAGCUCUCUUGCUGGUUUUCUUCCCCUGUGCUCUGCUCCCAGCUCCCCACCAUGAAGAGAGUAGCUUUGCUUCACUGCACCCUUCCACCAUGAUGUUCCUACUUUGAAGCCAGAUGACCAGGGACUGAAACCUCUGAAAUUAUAAACCAAAUAAAACCUCUCCUCCUUUA